rnacentral:rRNA from 1 species
AUUGAACGCUGGCGGCAUGCCUUACACAUGCAAGUCGAACGGUAACAGGUUAAGCUGACGAGUGGCGAACGGGUGAGUAAUGUAUCGGAACGUGCCCAGUCGUGGGGGAUAACUGCUCGAAAGAGCAGCUAAUACCGCAUACGACCUGAGGGUGAAAGCGGGGGAUCGCAAGACCUCGGGCGAUUGGAGCGGCCGAUAUCAGAUUAGGUAGUUGGUGGGGUAAAAGCCCACCAAGCCAACGAUCUGUAGCUGGUCUGAGAGGACGACCAGCCACACUGGGACUGAGACACGGCCCAGACUCCUACGGGAGGCAGCAGUGGGGAAUUUUGGACAAUGGACGCAAGUCUGAUCCAGCCAUGCCGCGUGCGGGAAGAAGGCCUUCGGGUUGUAAACCGCUUUUGUCAGGGAAGAAAAGGUUCUGGUUAAUACCUGGGACUCAUGACGGUACCUGAAGAAUAAGCACCGGCUAACUACGUGCCAGCCGCCGCGGUAACAC